AAUAUGGACAUUAUAAAAUAGUAUAACUUAAUCAGUGACAGAUAUGGAAACUUGGGUGAGAAUAUUUAUAGGUGUUACUGUAAUGGUAUUAGUGAUAGCAUUAAAGGUCACAAUUUGGCAACUUUAUCUUCGACAAAAAUGUUGUUUCAAAAAGAAAAAAGUAUUAACAGUAAGGGCUGGAACUGGAGCGCCAUUUACAAUGCACGAAGAUCAACUUGGUGGACAUAAUGGACAUGUCUUAUUUGUUCCGAACGCAGCAAAUAGAAAACACCGAUCUAGAUCACCAAAUAGAAACCAUCAUCACCACAAACACCACUCAUCAACACCAAGACAAGAAGGAGAACCCAGGUCUAAUCACAGGAACAGCAGCGUUCCGACUGAAAUAGUUGUUAACCCAUCAGCUCCACCCGUAUACGAUGAAGUUGUUGACACUCCACCCCCAUACAACUCAGUCAUGGCCUCUGCGCUUAAUUAAUUAGUGACUCUUUUAGUGUCAUAUAAAGCAUUUAUUCGGGAAAAAGAUUAGUUAUGACAGAAAUUUUCUAGUAAUUAUCAAGAAUCACAAUUGACUAAUUAUUGCAACACUAACUGCCCACCAACAUCACAGACAAUUCAAAAUAUGGACCGGAUUGCCAAGAUGAAAUCAAAUUGGUCAGUUAGAUUUCAAACGGUAGUGAUAAGAACAAAUUUUACAACAUCAAUAAUUAGUUGUCAGAUAUUAUUAUUAUGCUUGGUGGGUUGAGUUGCUAAAUGGCUUAAAGCGUGUGCAUUAUAUCAUAAGGCUUGCCAUUGAGUCAAGUAUGUAUGUGACAAGGUGUAGGUCGCCAAUCCAACCUCGUGGGUUUUCUCCGGUUUCCUCCCACAACUAUAGACCCCAAUCGCAAGUAAAUGAUUAAAAUAAAAUUGAACCAUAUGUUAGUCCCAAAAUGACAUAUUUUGUCUUGAGUGUAUGUUUAACAAUGUACAACUGUAGUUAAACUUCAUUGCAUAAGUCUUGUCCUAUAGUCAAAGACAUUUACCGGUUUCUCAGAUAUACACUGAUUAAUUUAAUUAACAAAAAGUUUGAUAACAAAGCUUCAAAAAGACAAUGUCGAUCUGUACUCUGUAGACUACGAGCGCUGGCUAAAAAGUUUUAAGCCAAUCUGUGAAAGACCUAUACGAUGUCAAUGGUUUCCAUUUUUUUUUCUACAUAGUCCCAUUAGAGCUGUACACACUUUUGCCAAUGAUGUUUCAAGGCCUGGAUGCCGGUCAGGAGGAAAUUUACUUCAGCCACCCUAAACAAAAAGUCAUUUACAGCUGACAUUACUAGGAAAAUGACUACCCACUGGUUCCUUUUUCAUUUUUGGAAACCGGUCUCAUCUAUUUAUGACUAUCACCCCCAUUUUUACUGUGGUGCCUAUCAUUUAGACAGAGAUGAUCAACCAACAAUUCCAAUUUCGGCACCGAACCAUCAUGUCGAACCAUCUGAAACAACGCCACAACGACGAGGUACAUAUUUUACAUUAACUCAAAUUUAUAUUAUAAACAUAACAUUAACAUAUUUGUAUAAAAGUUUAUUUAAAAUCAAAUAUCAACUUUUUUGAUUGUUUUAUACAGAGUUGUCAGGCAACUAAACAAAUGUGUACCAGAACUUAUUUUGUAGAAGCAGUUCAUGAAAUAUAGUGUUAUAUCUUUAUAUUUACAUAUUUACAAAGAUAAAUUUAUGUCUGAAAUAUUGUAAAUUUUAUAUCAUAAAUGUACAAAAUAUCAUGAAAGGGGAUACAUGCAUACAUGUAUAAAAUACAGCAACCAAUAAAUAUAAUAGUUUCAAUAAUCUUAAUUGAUUAUAUAUAAAUUGUUGCUUUUUGGCGAAGGGUAUAAAUAAUACUAUUAUUUUUUUUAUACAAUGUAAUUAAAUCCUUGGGGAAAAAAAGAACAUUA